CCGAAUAUAGCUCAGCGGUAGAGCGGGAGACUGUAGUUUCAAGUUAUCUCUAGGUCCCUGGUUCAAAUCCGGGUGUUCGGA
rnacentral:tRNA from 1 species